AUCUGCAGUCAUUCGUUUGCAAGAGCCCUGCGGUCAACGAAUAGUGAUGGCCCAGUGGCUUGUGAAUCUGACCUCUUGGCUCCAGAGAGGUCAAAGGGCUCACACCAGGGUCAGGGCCUUUCUUUAUGUCUCCUCUCACCAAAGGCUCUGUAAUGAAUGGGAAGCCUGGGGGAAACAAAAGCUUUCAGGAGAGACAAGCGACAGUGAUCAGCGCCUCUGCUCACAGUGACGUUCCCCUUACCAACUGAAGCGACAGAAACAAACAAACAAAUCCCAAAAGAGAAGAACAGACCAUGAGAAAUGGUCAGCUUGGGAUAGAAUCGGGUGAUGUUUCAAAGUCGAAAAGAAGAAAAAAGUUGGAUGCCUGUCAGACUUGAUCUCCAGAUCAGGCUGACUCAUCUGUCCCAUCAGAAGCAACACAUGUGAACAGACGGCUUGCAGCAUGGCUCAAAAAAGGAAAGAAAC